AUGCCCCUUCAGCCCUCACCUAGAGGACAUUCAGAGAAGGGCGCACAACAGCCCCAGGCUGGGGCUCCGAGACGGCGUCCGGCGCUGCCGCUGUCCUGCCCGCCGGUGCGGGGCGCCCCAGCCCGCCGGGGCCGCGCUUACCUGGGCUGGCCGCCUCCGGGUCCCGGUACAUGGUCCCCUCGUCGCCGGUUCCCUCCGGGCUCCUCAGACUCCCUCCGGCCUGCGCGCCGCGUGUGCGCGCCGGAGCG
rnacentral:lncRNA from 1 species